rnacentral:rRNA from 1 species
UAGACCGAUAGCGAACAAGUAGAGUGAUCGAAAGAUGAAAAGCACUUUGAAAAGAGAGUUAAAAAGUACGUGAAAUUGUUGAAAGGGAAGCGUUUAUGACCAGACUUGGGCUUGGAUAAUCAUCUGGGGUUCUCUCCAGUGCACUUUUCCAGUCCAGGCCAGCAUCAGUUUUCGCCGGGGGAUAAAGGCUUCGGGAAUGUGGCUCUCUCCGGGGAGUGUUAUAGCCCGUUGCGUAAUACCCUGGCGGGGACUGAGGUUCGCGCAUCUGCAAGGAUGCUGGCGUAAUGGUCAUCAACSACCCGUCUUGAAACACRGACCAAGA